rnacentral:lncRNA from 1 species
AUCACAAACCAGCUGUAAACUUCCAGAUUCUAUACACUGGCCCUUACCCCAGGCAGCCGAGCGAUGACCUUCCCCAGACAGUGAGCUGGCUGGCCAGGUCCGCCAACGAAGGACUCUGGGAAAAUCACAGGCAUUGAUCCUCUUUCAUAACUGGAAGCCUCACACAAAAGCUCUUUGAAGAAAUGACAAGAAAAGGUGUCUUAUCAUGGACAAAAGAAUAGUGGACAUAAUUUACAAAAAAAAAUAUAUUUUCAGCGCUGAAAAUAGUUUCCUUGGUAGAGUGUUUUCCUGGUACAUAUAAUGCCCUAAGUUCAAUCUUGAGCCCUUACAAUCAAGAUCUGAACCUACAGCUGGCUGAAUCCAUAGGGGCAACCAUGGAGGGCCAAGGUUGAGUCUUGCCUAGGCUCAGAUAACUGGCUGUUAGGGCAGGGUUGAAAGGCCCAGCCCGCAAGUUUACAUUUAAACAAAACUUUUUGAGUUCAGUCUUGCUAUGCAGCCCUAGCUGUCCUUGGAAUUUCUGGCAAUCCAUAUUCAGUUUCUAAACAAGGCCUUGGACACUUUCUUGCUCCUAAAUUUGAAAAUACUAAGUUUAGACAGAAGCUUACAGUCUUAGCACUUAGAAGGUAGAGGCAGGUGAAUCCGGGGGACAAGGCCAGCCUUAGCUACCAUAGACUAUCUCAAGAGUAAAAACAGGGGGCUGGAGAGAUGGCUCAGCAGUUAAAAGCACUGACUGUUCUUCCGGAAGUCCUGAGUUCAAAUCCCAGCAACCACGCGGUGGCUCAC